UACGUAGGGGGCAAGCGUUGUCCGGAAUCAUUGGGCGUAAAGCGCGUGUAGGCGGCUCGGUAAGUCCGCUCUGAAAGCCCGGGGCUCAACCCCGGGAGGCGGGUGGAUACUGCUGAGCUCGAGUCCGGAGGAGGAGUGUGGAAUUCCUGGUGUAGCGGUGAAAUGCGCAGAUAUCAGGAGGAACACCAAUGGCGAAGGCGGUUCUCUGGGCAUGUCCUGGCGCUGAGGAGCGAAAGUGUGGGGAGCGAACAGG
rnacentral:rRNA from 1 species